AUUGAACGCUGGCGGCAGGCCUAACACAUGCAAGUCGAGCGAGCGGCGGACGGGUGAGUAAUGUGUGGGAAACUGGCUGAUGGAGGGGGAUAACUACUGGAAACGGUAGCUAAUACCGCAUACAAUCAGGUGUGCCCAGAUGGGAUUAGCUAGUAGGGGGGGUAACGGCUCACCUAGGCGACGAUCCCUGGCUGGUCUGCGAGGAGGACCAGCCACACUGGAACUGAGACACGGUCCAGACUCCUACGGGAGUCAGCAGUGGGGAAUAUUGCACAAUGGGCGCAAGCCUGAUGCAGCCAUGCCGCGUGUGUGAAGAAGGCCUUCGGGUUGUAAAGCACUUUCAGCGGGGAGGCGUUACCCGCAGAAUAAGCACCGGCUAACUCCGUGCCAGCAGCCGCGGUAAUUC
rnacentral:rRNA from 1 species